rnacentral:tRNA from 1 species
GUGGCUGGCUCAGCGGUAGAGCACUCGCCUAGCACAUGCGAGGCCCUGGGUUUGAUCCUCAGCACCACA